ACCUUCGGCAAAGAAACACAAAUUUCCAUUAGAACACAGACACCACUCUAGUGGACAUGCAGGAAUGUAAAAAAAAGUGGAAAUAACUGUAGCCCCCUUCAUUUGCAAUUCAGAUAUUCAACCUACCCAGGGCCUUCCUUUCAAACAAAGUUGUUUUGCACAUCAGGAUUCACAGUUUGGGGGAGCUAUGCUGUGAGCUGUGAGAUAAGAAUCACACACAGCGUUCAGCCCCAGUCUGCCCUUUAUCCAGCUCUGCUCAGAAACCUAGAGGGAAGUAUGAGCAAUCAGUCUUGCCAACGCAAAUCAGAUGGUUUGGUUCAGAUAAAGCUUUUACAGGAAACACUUGUGUGAAAUGAAGAAUGUGAAGCUCUAAAACCCCCCAGAAACAUUACCAGUAGCCCGUGGAUUAUGACAUAUUUGGAUAUUUGAUUCCAGGGCUGUAUAACACAGUCUAGUCCAGAAAUGAGAGAUAAGCCAGGGCAGCAGGAAGCACGACCAGGAGAACAGGGCUCAGACCUGCAACUGCGAAGAGCACGAGGAAAUGCCCCAAAUCCCAGUCUCAGUGCCCUGCACAAUAACUUCGGUCUUUUCAUAGGUUAUGACAACUCCCGCUCUCCGGGGGUGCUACAAAGGUCAGGUCUAACAGUCAGAGAGAUGCUGAGUAAUGGAACAUUAAGUUUUUAAAUGAAACAUACUGGUUAUUCUAAAUACUCAGUGAAAUUACUCUGACAAUGACUCUGCAGCUGGCACUGGCAGCCAGACUGCCCAUUUGGAAACAGAACAAAAACUAGAUUCACUACAAAGUUUACAUUCUUAUAUGAACCUCUAAACUUAAUUAGUUUUGUGGCUCCUAAGGUGCUGAAUUGAGAUAUUACAAGGAAUUAGAGAGAUGUGAAACUAAGCUUUGCUGGUUUCCCAGUGAGCAUCAAUCAGUGCACCAGGGUUGGAUGUGUCAGAACGAAAUCUGGAGAGAACUACAGAGCUAGAAAGAUUUCCCCCCUGGUAGCUAAAAUCUUUUCAUCUGGGCUCUGCCCCGAAUUCUGCUGAUGUGUUUUAGGCAAGCAGCAUUAAACUUUUAAAUUCUGGA